GACGCAAUGUGAUUUCUGCCCA
rnacentral:misc_RNA from 1 species